UUCACUCCUUUCAGAGCCACUGACACGCAGCACAAUGAUGAUGUCACUGAUUCUACUGCUGGGGACACUGGGGCUCCUUGUUCAGGAAUCAGCAGCAGAUAUAAUUCUGACUCAGUCUCCUAAAUCUCAGUCUGUUCGCCCAGGAGAGACUGUCUCUAUCAGCUGUACAGCCAGUUCAAGUACUAGUAAUAAUCUCCACUGGUACCUACAGAAACCUGGAGAAGCUCCUAAACUCCUGGUUUAUUAUGCUACAAACCGUCAGUCUAGGAUUCCAGGUCGUUUCAGUGGGAGUGGAUCUGGUAGUUCAUAUACUCAUUACACUCUGACCAUCAGUGGAGUCCUGGCUGAAGAUGCAGGAGAUUACUACUGUCAGCAGGGUGCCAGUUAUCCGUUCACACAGUGUUAGAGCGUCGUACAAAAACCUCCCUCAGCUAAAGAGGAACUGCUCUGACUCGUCUCCCGUAUUCUAAACACCAAUUCAUCUAAAU